AUCAUAAACUAAGUAACAAAAGUUUUUUUUUUUUAAAUAAACAAAAGAAAAGAUUUGUUUGAGAAUUGAAAGAAAAACCCUAGUCCCUUAUUUCCCUCCAAUUCCCAGCCCAGCCGUCUUCUCAGUUGUCCCUCAUUCUCUCUCUCUGACUCUCGGCUUUGCUCAGCAACGCCGUUCUCACGUCGGUCUUCAACAUCACCUUAUCACCGACGGCGUAAAAUCUCGUCACUAACGCAAAAACUCAAGGUUUUCCAAUAAGUUUUUGGUGUUUUCCGACCAGUAUAUGACAGGUGCUUGCGGGAUCCAACUAUUCAAACAAUUGAAGAAUAAUAUGAGGAAGAAAAUAGCAUAACACUAACAAAGACUGAGGCAAUUGAAAAAUGAAAUGACACUAUUCAAACUAUUAGAUAUCUUUUUUUUUUCUCUCUUGUAGUUUCCAAUUUCUUUUUAUUGUAACAAUUGUGAACAACCAACGAGACAUGUUAGUUGAUUAAGGUGUUUAUAUAAAUGACAAUUAUUUAUUUAUCUA